rnacentral:rRNA from 1 species
AGCAGCCGCGGUAAUUCCAGCUCCAAUAGCGUAUAUUAAAGUUGUUGCAGUUAAAAAGCUCGUAGUUGAAUUUCGGGGCCAGUAGGUCGGUCGUGCCACUGGUAUGAACUGGUCUCACUGGUCCCUCCCUCUUGAAGAACCGUGAUGCCAUUAAUUUGGUGUUGCGGGGAAACAGGACUGUUACUUUGAAAAAAUUAGAGUGCUUAAAGCAGGCUUACGCUUGAAUACAUUAGCAUGGGAUAACGAAAUAGGACGAUCGAUUCUAUUUUGUUGGUUUCUAGGGUCGACGUAAUGAUUAAUAGGGAUAGUUGGGGGCAUUAGUAUUCAAUUGUCAGAGGUGAAAUUCUUGGAUUUAUUGAAGACUAACUACUGCGAAAGCAUUUGCCAAGGAUGUUUUCAUUAAUCAAGAACGAAAGUUAGGGGAUCGAAGACGAUCAGAUACCGUCGUAGUCUUAACCAUAAACUAUGCCGACUAGGGAUCGGAUGAAGUUAAUUUUUAAUGUACUCAUUCGGCGCCUUA